rnacentral:rRNA from 1 species
CACCAGACUCCUACGGGAGGCAGCAGUGGGGAAUAUUGCACAAUGGGGGAAACCCUGAUGCAGCGACGCCGCGUGAGUGAAGAAGUAUUUCGGUAUGUAAAGCUCUAUCAGCAGGGAAGAAAAAAGACGGUACCUGACUAAGAAGCCCCGGCUAACUACGUGCCAGCAGCCGCGGUAAUACGUAGGGGGCAAGCGUUAUCCGGAUUUACUGGGUGUAAAGGGAGCGUAGACGGCGAUGCAAGCCAGAUGUGAAAGCCCGGGGCUCAACCCCGGGACUGCAUUUGGAACUGUGUGGCUGGAGUGUCGGAGAGGCAGGCGGAAUUCCUAGUGUAGCGGUGAAAUGCGUAGAUAUUAGGAGGAACACCAGUGGCGAAGGCGGCCUGCUGGACGAUGACUGACGUUGAGGCUCGAAAGCGUGGGGAGCAAACAGGAUUAGAUACCCCAGUACU